rnacentral:lncRNA from 1 species
UGCCCCUUUUCCUUUUGAAAACUCAGUUACAUCCUAUGGGUUUUAUCUCUUUAGGUGGAUCAACUAAUGUCUACACAUUGUUGACUUUCAUGGACUCUAUUUCAAAUUUUAUGGUUUCAAGCCAUUUCUCAGAGUCGGACCUCUGUAUUGCAUCCAUAUAGGUGAUUGGAUUCUCAUUGUUCUCAUCGAGCUCAAUAGGAUCUCCAUCCUG